CUUCAAAAAUAAUUCAUAAGCAAUAGCUCUGCCAAUUUCAUGAACUUCAGUAAAAGUAUCAUGAGGAUCUUUAUCUUUCACAAGAUUUGGU